AGAGACCGGCGCACGGGUGCGUAACGCGUAUGCAAUCUACCUUUCACAGAGGGAUAGCCCAGAGAAAUUUGGAUUAAUACCUUAUAGUAUAGCACAACCGCAUGGUUGAGUUAUUAAAGAUUUAUCGGUGAAAGAUGAGCAUGCGUCCCAUUAGCUAGUUGGUAAGGUAACGGCUUACCAAGGCAACGAUGGGUAGGGGUCCUGAGAGGGAGAUCCCCCACACUGGUACUGAGACACGGACCAGACUCCUACGGGAGGCAGCAGUGAGGAAUAUUGGACAAUGGGCGCAAGCCUGAUCCAGCCAUGCCGCGUGCAGGAUGACGGUCCUAUGGAUUGUAAACUGCUUUUAUACAGGAAGAAACAGUUCUACGUGUAGAACCUUGACGGUACUGUAAGAAUAAGGAUCGGCUAACUCCGUGCCAGCAGCCGCGGUAAUACGGAGGAUCCAAGCGUUAUCCGGAAUCAUUGGGUUUAAAGGGUCCGUAGGCGGUCAGAUAAGUCAGUGGUGAAAGCCCAUCGCUCAACGGUGGA
rnacentral:rRNA from 1 species